GGGUGCGCGGCUCUGGUUCUUACCUUGGUAUAAAAACCCUGGGAUGGUGGGGGUUUCCUCUGAUCCCACUGAACCUCUGGUGUGCUCCCCCCCAGUCGCAUUUUAUUUAUUCGAACUUGCUUUCGGCUAUUUUUGCCACUCAAACUGAGAAAAAAUCAAUGUGCAAAUGCUGCCUGUGAGCGUGUCAGUUGACCUUUUUGUUUGAGAAGCUUUUUUUUUAUUUUAUCCGUGCCAACAAUUUGAUGUCUAAUUGUUGAAUUUUUUUCAAGUCUUCCCUCCAUCUCUGUACUUUGGACAAAGUGUUUUCACCGACUGCUGGACAAGAUAUCGAGAAAGUGGAAUAUGGGGGCAGGCGAACGAGAAAGACGAGAAGAAGACUCGCAGGGAGGAGAGAGUCUGCCUGCAGCCACCGCUUCACUCUGCAUGGGCCAUCAUCCCUCGCUGGAUCGCCCUUCCUACGGCCUCCAUCCCAGGCUCGUCCCCCACCACCACCCCCUCCCCGUCACCUAUCGGACCUGACCCUCCCCUUAAAUGCUUUGCUAAAGCUGGUAAAAUGGAACCAAAUCAACUGUUCAAUGGAUUUGGUCCCCUUCAACCAGCUGUAGCUGUGCAUUGAUCACUCCGAGGCACACACACCCAACGUGCCGAGGGACAAGCCAACGGAGGGAUAAGCACCGCAAAGACUCGGGCUCAUCGACUGGGAGAGCGGCUUUUGAAAUCGGAAAAAAGUGAGGCCGCGGUAGCUUCUUGCACAAAAAGAACUGGACCGAAGUCAUACGGCGUGCAUCAGUUACUGUGCGGAUUAAUCUCCACCACACAGAUUACCCAAAAGACACUCCAGUCAUUUGCUAAAGCUGAAUAAAGCGAGGCCAGGUAAGUAAUUAUAGAUAGUGCAUCUUGGCGAAUGUCUGUUUUAGUUGGGUACUGCUGUAAUCGCAUCGUUCUUUGACCACCUUUUUAUUGUUCUUUGGAGAAGAGUGUGUGUGUGUGUGUGUGUGUGUGCACAAUAGGGGUAUGGGUUGAAAAGCUAUUAAGUGUAGAACAAAUGCUGUAGGAAAAGGAGUGGUGUGUGUGUUUGCGUGCGUGUGCGUGUGUGUGUGUGUGUGUGUGUGUGUGUGUGUGUGUAUGUGUGUGACGCCUAUUGCACAUGUCUAAUCAAUAAAGGCUCAUCAUGAAGUUCAUAUAAA